rnacentral:tRNA from 1 species
UGCUUUGGCUCAGUGGAAGAAUCUCUGCUUUGCAUGCAGAAGGUCCCAGGUUCAAUUCCAGGGAAAACAG